UACAGAGGUCUCAAGCGUUGUUCGGAUUCAUUGGGCGUAAAGGGUGCGUAGGCGGCGCGGUAAGUCGGGUGUGAAAUUUCGAGGCUUAACUUCGAACUGCAUUCGAUACUGCCGUGCUUGAGGACUGGAGAGGAGACUGGAAUUUACGGUGUAGCGGUGAAAUGCGUAGAUAUCGUAAGGAAGACCAGUGGCGAAGGCGGGUCUCUGGACAGUUCCUGACGCUGAGGCACGAAGGCCAGGGGAGCAAACGGG
rnacentral:rRNA from 1 species